rnacentral:rRNA from 1 species
CCCUUCACUCUGGGACAAGCCCUGGAAACGGGGUCUAAUACCGGAUACCACUCCUGCCUGCAUGGGCGGGGGUUGAAAGCUCCGGCGGUGAAGGAUGAGCCCGCGGCCUAUCAGCUUGUUGGUGGGGUAAUGGCCCACCAAGGCGACGACGGGUAGCCGGCCUGAGAGGGCGACCGGCCACACUGGGACUGAGACACGGCCCAGACUCCUACGGGAGGCAGCAGUGGGGAAUAUUGCACAAUGGGCGAAAGCCUGAUGCAGCGACGCCGCGUGAGGGAUGACGGCCUUCGGGUUGUAAACCUCUUUCAGCAGGGAAGAAGCGAAAGUGACGGUACCUGCAGAAAAAGCGCCGGCUAACUACGUGCCAGCAGCCGCGGUAAUACGUAGGGCGCAAGCGGUGUCCGGAAUUAUUGGACGUAUAGAGCUCGUACGCCGCUUGUCACCUCAGAAGUGAAAACGCGAGGCUUAACCUCGGGGCUGCCUUCGAUUCGGUCUAAGCUA